rnacentral:misc_RNA from 1 species
AGCAGCCGCGGUAAUUCCAGUUCCAAUAGCGUAUAUUAAAGUUGUUGCAGUUAAAAGCUCGUAGUUGAAUUUCGGGAUCAAUUAAUUGGUCGUGCCUCUGGUACGUACUGAUUUUAUUGGUUUCUCCCUUCUGACGAACCAUGAUGUCAUUAAUUUGGUGUCGUGGAGAAUCAGGACUGUUACUUUGAAAAAUUAGAGUGUUUAAAGCAAGCUAACGCUUGAAUACAUUAGCAUGGAAUAAUGAAAUAGGACGUUUGAUCCUAUUUUGUUGGUUUCUAGGAUCGACGUAAUGAUUAAUAGGGAUAGUUGGGGGCAUUAGUAUUCAAUUGUCAGAGGUGAAAUUCUUGGAUUUAUUGAAGACUAACUACUGCGAAAGCAUUUGCCAAGGAUGUUUUCAUUAAUCAAGAACGAAAGUUAGGGAUCGAAGACGAUCAGAUACCGUCGUAGUCUUAACCAUAAACUAUGCCGACUAGGGAUCGGAUGAUGUUAAUUUUUAAUGACUCAUUCGGCGCCUUACGGG